rnacentral:sRNA from 1 species
GGGGCAAGGUUGGGGGAGCUGCCUCUUGUCCUGCACCUCAGCAGCUACAGGGCUCUGGGUGAAGGAGGGCCUGAGGAUUGUGAGCUCAGUGCUUUCAGGCUUGAGCUGCCCUUGGGGAUCUCCCCCUGGAGGCAGAGCUGGACCUUGGGGAGGGACCCUGUGCGGGACGUCCUUCUAUGGCCGCUUCAGGCACUUCUUGGAUAUCAUCGACCCUCGCACACUCUUUGUCACUGAGAGACGUCUCAGAGAGGCUGUGCAGCUGCUGGAGGACUAUAAGCAUGGGACCCUGCGCCCGGGGGUCACCAAUGAACAGCUCUGGAGUGCACAGAAAAUCAAGCAGGCUAUUCUACAUCCGGACACCAAUGAGAAGAUCUUCAUGCCAUUUAGAAUGUCAGGUUACAUUCCUUUUGGGACGCCAAUUGUAGUCGGUCUUCUCUUGCCCAACCAGACACUGGCAUCCACUGUCUUCUGGCAGUGGCUGAACCAGAGCCACAAUGCCUGUGUCAACUAUGCAAACCGCAAUGCAACCAAGCCUUCACCUGCAUCCAAGUUCAUCCAGGGCUACCUGGGAGCUGUCAUCAGCGCCGUCUCCAUUGCUGUGGGCCUUAAUGUCCUGGUUCAGAAAGCCAACAAGUUCACCCCAGCCACCCGCCUUCUCAUCCAGAGGUUUGUGCCGUUCCCUGCUGUAGCCAGUGCCAAUAUCUGCAAUGUGGUCCUGAUGCGGUACGGGGAGCUGGAGGAAGGGAUUGAUGUCCUGGACAGCGAUGGCAACCUCGUGGGCUCCUCCAAGAUCGCAGCCCGACACGCCCUGCUGGAGACGGCGCUGACGCGAGUGGUCCUGCCCAUGCCCAUCCUGGUGCUACCCCCGAUCGUCAUGUCCAUGCUGGAGAAGACGGCUCUCCUGCAGGCACGCCCCCGGCUGCUCCUCCCUGUGCAAAGCCUCGUGUGCCUGGCAGCCUUCGGCCUGGCCCUGCCGCUGGCCAUCAGCCUCUUCCCGCAGAUGUCAGAGAUUGAAACAUCCCAAUUAGAGCCGGAGAUAGCCCAGGCCACGAGCAGCCGGACAGUGGUGUACAACAAGGGGCUGUGAGUGUGGUCAGCGGCCUGGGGACGGAGCACUGUGCAGCCGGGGAGCUGAGGGGCAGGGUGGUAGACUCACAGCUGCACCUGCAGGGAGCAGCACACCAACCCCAGCAGUCCUGGGCCCCCUGGGAGAGUGCUCAACCUGCAGUGGAGGGAGACUGACCCAUUCACAUUUUAACAUAGGCGAGAGGAGUUCUAACACAUUUCGCACAAAAAAAUAAUCAAGUGCAUUUCUGGGCCUUAUGUGGGGUUGUCAGAACUCCACUCAGCACAAUUAUGUGUGAAGCUGAAAAAUUGUAGAGUGCCCAUGGGGUAGAAGUAGAAUCCUUUUAUACUUUGAUUCCUUUUUUAUUUUUAUUUUUUAUCAGAAUCAAAUCUGAGCCUUAGUUUCAGCUGACCAGAAGUGGCAGGAGGACAGGUGGAGGGGAGCCAGAUUAGGCCUGGAGUUGGGCUGGUUUGGUGGCCAGGCUGGUGGAUUUAGGAUAUUACAAUGGCCAGCCCAGAUGGCUCCCUGGGCUGGUGUGGGGAGGGGAGAGAAGGUGGUCUGCACCCCACAGGAUGAACUAGCCAUGACUAGGGUCCUCAGGAAGUGGCCCAGGGAAUCAGGGAGCACUGGAGGCCUCUGCAAGAUUCUGUGGGCAGCUGGCUCUGAAUGUAGCCAGCCCACAUCCAUUCCAGAGCUGCAGAACCAGUCCCUCUGAGUGAAGCCCGGUGACCCUGGAGCUAGGGUCCCCCUUCGUGGAGCUCGGACUGAUUCAGGGCCCCUGAAGUGACCCCAGCUCCAGGCAGGAAACCCUGAGAAGGAAUGGUGCUUGGCAGGAACCGUGGACCUGCACUUGGCCUCUUCGAGAAGAUCCUUCUUCCAGGCCCCAGGCUGGAUGCUGGGUACUGGGGCUGAGAGUGGGGCUGGACUGGGCUGGCUGCCUUCUGUGGAGCUUCUCCAGCCACCAAGGCUGCCCAUCCCAUCCCUUUCUAAGCAGGAAGGUCUCAUGCCUGAGAAUGCCUAGGCCAGCUCCUUAGACACCUGUCAGAGAAGCAGCAUCAACCUAGGAGCUGUGGGCCCUGGCUCUGGCACUAAAUGGCAGUGAGAUGUCGGACAAGUUCAUUCCCUUCUCUGAGCCUCCACUCCCUGUCUGAAACCAGAAGACUGGGUCAAAGGGUUCCCACUGGCUCCUCCAGCAAGACCUCGUCUUUGCCUGUCCUGCUCAGAUGCUGGUCAUCCUGGGCAUGUUCCCAGUGUGGACUCUGGACUGGGAAGGGGGCAGGCCCCUUUGGACCAGCAGUUGGCCUCAGAACCUGGACCUUGCCUUCUGUAUGUGACCCCAUAUGCCGGGAGCAGUUGACCUUUGCCAAACACUUUACAGUUCUGGAGGAGAAGGUAACAUAGAUGCCUGGGCCUGAUGGUAGGGCCAUACCCGUGUGUCGCCUCUCACUCCGGCAGCCUCAGAGGCCCCUUGCUGCUAGCUCCCAUCUCCCUCCCAUUUGCAGACCAGGAAGGAAGAGCAAGCUGUACAAAGGGAAGCAGAGCCUGGGGUGGGUGUGAGCAGGGUGACCCCUCAUCUGAAAGGCCCAAACCAGGGGGGAGCACCAGCCUCAAUGCAGCCCCCUCCUGACCCCACCUAGAAAGGAAGCCUCCACCUGCAGCCCCGGGCCUCCCUCCCCUGGGGUCUCCACCUCAGGGGAGACUUAGGCCAGAGGUGAACAUUCAUGUGUAGGAAGAGGCCGCUGCAGGGUGGAAUCUUAGGGCAGGGGAAGUGUGCUGAGGUGGGUCUUCCGUGGGCAUGGCCGUUGCCUCUCUGCCAGCCGCUGGUGCCCACCAGCUGGCUCUGCAGCACAUUGCCCUGAGGGGCCUGCCACUCUCCUGAGGAGCAGCCCACCUCCUGCCCGUGAGGAGGGGGAGAAGGCUUAGACAAGCCUGGAGGCCAACAUAGCGGGGGUGUGGGGGUGCCAUGGUGUUGGAGGGGCAGGCCUUUUUGAGCCAAUCCCACCACAAUGUGAAUAUGCCAGUGACUGCUGUGCUGUGCUGGUCUCUAGGCCUGAACUAGGUGCUGGCAUGUCUGGGUCCUCUUUUGAAAAGCUCACUUCAAGCUCACCCUGCUCCUACCUAUCAUAGGGUCUUAUUCUUGUGCACUUUAUCUUGGGACCAAAACUGCCUACCCACCCACCUCCCGCCCUCCCCCUGCCAGAGGCCUGGUGCCCUGGCCCAGCCUGUGGCCUCAGCAUCUCAUAACUCAUUUGCUUUGUCUCCCGGAUGAUUUCCGUCAUGCUCCCAAAUACAGCUUCAGGUGAGCCGAGGGGUCUGCUCCUGUGGCAGUGCAGUGGCAAACGAUCCAGAUAGCCCAGGGUGAGGGUGACAGAGGGACAGUGGGCUAUGCUACUAGGCCCUGGUCUGGGUUUGGAAAGCCCUGUAAGGGGAAACCUUCACCCAGCACCCAUGCCACACUCUGCUGAGGCCAGAGGAAGGGAGGCCUGAGGGGCAGAUUGGUUCAUGCCUGGGGUGGAGGCUAAGCCUGGACCCACAGUCAGGGCAGGGCUGGCCAGCUGUGCCAGAACACAACCCAUGCCUGCAAUGGUUCUGCAUCCCUGGUGUCCCUGCCUGGCCCUCCUCUGGUCACUUCAAACAUUCCCUCAGGCUUGGGGAUGCCCUUCUUCCAUUUCUAGACAGCAAUGUGAGGGCGCAGGGACCAAGAUGUCAAGCUGGCCAUGGAGUCAAGCUGGCCGACGGACCCCUUUCACCUCCUGGUUGUGAGCCGACUUCUUUCGUGUUCUGGCCUCUGGCCUGGGAGAAGGGCAGGAGCCUAGACGAGGAAAAAGGCCGGUGGACAGACCCAGGGUGGUCUUCAAGCCUGGCCCAGUGAGAGUGAGGCCCCCGCAUGCAAGCCUCAGCCACUCCCAGGGGCCUUUGCAGUGUCUUUUUAACCUCAGAAAAUUUCUCAAUCUAUGUGAUUUGUGUAAUACUAAUGAGCUUUGGGCAAUAAAUACGGGAUUUAAAGCA